CACGCCGUAAACGUUGGGCACUAGGUGUGGGGCCUUAUCAACGGGUUCCGUGCCGCAGCUAACGCAUUAAGUGCCCCGCCUGGGGAGUACGGCCGCAAGGCUAAAACUCAAAGGAAUUGACGGGGGCCCGCACAAGCGGCGGAGCAUGUUGCUUAAUUCGAGGCAACGCGAAGAACCUUACCUGGGCUUGACAUGUACCGAAAAGCCGUAGAGAUACGGUGUCCUUCGGGGCGGUACACAGGUGG
rnacentral:rRNA from 1 species